UCGAGCUCCAGGCGCUCGGGAGACACAGCCUCGUAGCGGGCCUCACAGGUGCUGUGGUGGCGCCGGCACAGCUCGAUGCGUCGGCGGAGGCGCUCCAUGACCGCGCUGUGCCGCGGCAGCGCGAACUCCGCCAUGGGGCAGAUAGGAUCACUCCAUAUAAAGGACAAGAACAGAGUGGAAUGACAAACAAGGAACUCUAAAUCCUGUCAUCAUCUGGGUACAAGGAACCCCUGCAAAACAUGGACCAGUAUUUACGAACUACUAAAGAAAAUCUCGGGCUGGAGAGAUGGCUCAGAGGUUAAGAGCACUGUCUGCUCUUCCAAAGGUCCUGAGUUCAAUUCCCAGCAACCACAUGGUGGCUCACAACCAUCCAUCCAUAUUGAGUUCCGAUGCCUUCUUUUGGCCUGCAGGCAUACAUGCAGGCAGAUAGCUAUAUGAUGUAUACAUAAUAAAUAAAUAUAUAUAUAAAAAAA